UACAGAGGGGGCAAGCGUUGUUCGGAAUUACUGGGCGUAAAGGGCGCGUAGGCGGCCUUCUAAGUCGAACGUGAAAUCCCUGGGCUCAACCCAGGAACUGCGUCCGAUACUGGAAGGCUUGAAUCCGGGAGAGGGAUGCGGAAUUCCAGGUGUAGCGGUGAAAUGCGUAGAUAUCCGGAGGAACACCGGUGGCGAAGGCGGCUUCCUGGACCGACACUGACGCUGAGGCGCGAAAGCUAGGGGAGCAAACGGG
rnacentral:rRNA from 1 species